UACGGAGGGUGCAAGCAUUGAUCGGAAUUACUGGGCGUAAAGGGCGCGUAGGCGGUCUUGAAAGUCAGAUGUGAAAUUCCGGGGCUCAACCCCGGAGCUGCAUUUGAGACUUCAAGGCUAGAGGACAGUUAGGGUAAACGGAAUUCCACGUGUAGCGGUGAAAUGCGUAGAUAUGUGGAAGAACACCAGUGGUGAAGACGGUUUACUGGGCUGUAACUGACGCUGAGGCGCGAAAGCUAGGGGAGCAAACAGG
rnacentral:rRNA from 1 species